UCGGACCUUGGUAGCGCAGCUAACGCGUGAAGUUGACCGCCUGGGGAGUACGUUCGCAAGAUUAAAACUCAAAGGAAUGACGGGGGACCCGCACAAGCGGUGGAUGAUGUGGAUUAAUUCGAUGCAACGCGAAAAACCUUACNUACCCUGCACAUGUCUGGAAUCCUGAAGAGAUUUAGGAGUGCUCGCAAGAGAACCGGAACACAGGUGCUGCAUGGCUGUCGUCAGCUCGUGUCGUGAGAUGUUGGGUUAAGUCCCGCAACGAGCGCAACCCUUGUCAUUAGUUGCUACGAAAGGGCACUCUAAUGAGACUGCCGGUGACAAACCGGAGGAAGGUGGGGAUGACGUCAAGUCCUCAUGGCCCUUAUGGGUAGGGCUUCACACGUCAUACAAUGGUCGGGACAGAGGGUCGCCAACCCGCGAGGGGGAGCCAAUCCCAGAAACCCGAUCGUAGUCCGGAUCGCGGUCUGCAACUCGACUGCGUGAAGUCGGAAUCGCUAGUAAUCGUGAAUCAGAAUGUCACGGUGAAUACGUUCCCGGGCCUUGUACACACCGCCCGUCACACCAUGGGAGUGGGUUGCUCCAGAAGUAGCUAGUCUAACCGCAAGGGGGACGGUUACCACGGAGUGAUUCAUGACUGGGGUGAAGUCGUAACAAGGUAGCCGUAGGGGAACCUGCGGCUGGAUCACCUCCUGAAGCUUGGAUCCCGGG
rnacentral:rRNA from 1 species